UACGGGGGGAGCAAGCGUUGUUCGGAUUUACUGGGCGUAAAGGGCGCGUAGGCGGUCGUGACAAGUCACUUGUGAAAUCUCCGGGCUUAACUCGGAACGGUCAAGUGAUACUGUCGGACUAGAGUACAGAAGGGGCAACUGGAAUUCUCGGUGUAGCGGUGAAAUGCGUAGAUAUCAGGAGGAACACCAAUGGCGAAGGCAGCACUCUGGGACGGUACUGACGCUGAGACGCGAAAGCGUGGGGAGCAAACAGG
rnacentral:rRNA from 1 species